AGAAAAUCGUUGAGUAAGAAGAGUAUGCAAAUGGCAAGCGUUCCAGAGAGCCGGCGUGGGUGGGAGUCCGGCACGAACUGCCUUUGCAGAAUGGGCUUAUGAGAGGUUUCCUGAACUGUGUAGUAGGGAAACACGGCUUCCCCCGUUACAGGGAUAGGGUAUAAAGAGUGGCUUGCUCCGUACCUGAAUGAGCGGAAAGGUUUUAAAUCCUUUCAAAAGAGGUGGCACCGCGUUGGAAAACGUCCUCUGU
rnacentral:ncRNA from 1 species